AGAACGAACGCUGGCGGCAGGCCUCAAACAUGCAAGUCUAGGGGGUGUAGCAAUACAUCACCGGCGGACGGGUGCGUAACACGUGGGAAUAUACCUUUUGGUUCGGAACAACGCAGGGAAACUUGCGCUAAUACCGAAUGUGUCCUUACGGAGAAAGAUUUAUCGCCAAAGGAUUAGCCCGCGUCCGAUUAGCUAGUUGGUGAGGUAAUGGCUCACCAAGGCUCCGAUCGGUAGCUGUUCUGAGAGGAAGAUCAGCCACACUGGGACUGAGACACGGCCCAGACUCCUACGGGAGGCAGCAGUUGGGAAUCUUGGACAAUGGGGAAACCCUGAUCCAGCCAUGCCGCGUGAGUGAUGAAGGCCUUCGGGUUGUAAAGCUCUGUCGGAGGGAAGAACACAAUGACGGUACCCUCAAGAAAGCCCCGGCUAACUACGUGCCAGCAGCCGC
rnacentral:rRNA from 1 species